rnacentral:tRNA from 1 species
AGGCCCGUAGUAUAGUCCGGAUAGUAUACUCGGCUUCGGACCGAGAGGUCGGCGGUUCGAAUCCGUCCGGGCCUGCCA